AUUUGCAGUGUUUCUUUUAUUUGCAGCGGCAUUUCUUUUUAUUUGCAGCGUUUCUUUAUGUGGCAGAGUGACUGUGUCAUCAAACUGUUGUGAGGGCUGGCAUCUACAUUGAAAGCACCGCCCUGUCAGGUGGGGCCAGAGGUAGCUCCCCGCCUUUAUAGGGACAGGUGAGGGCAAUUAAUACCUCUUUGUCUGAGGCCUGGUUGUGGUUGCUGUGGCUGUACGGUUGUGGUGUGACUGUCCUGAGGUGAUCCAGAUUGAGCACUGUGGUCCUGUGCGGAAGAGGUAUGUGUUAGUGGAUUGUAGGUUAGUUUGUCGUUGCAGUGAUUUGUGUGCACACGUGGUGGUUCCUAUUUGGGUCUGUGAUAGAAUCUCCCCGCAGUAAGUACCCUGUCCUGCCUAUUGUCGUAGCAAUUUUAUCCUCUGUAUUUCAUGUCAAGCCAUUUGCUAUUUAUAUAUUAAUAGUUUUAAUUAUUUUAAUGUUGUGAAAUAAAAUAGCUUGGACUAAUCUGGCAGUUUCUCCUUUUUGUUUUACAGGUUCGCUGCCAUAGUUCUCUUUUUAAAAUAAAUAUUCUUCGAAUUGAACACACGUCUCCCGCUCUUUUUGAACCCUUUAAAACUUGUGUCCACAUUCAGAUGGUUGGUAUCUAGGGCUGAUAAAGCCCUCUUCUGUCUAUUUGCCCCCCUUUAUAACCUGGGUGGUGUCACAAACUGGCGCUGUGAGAAGGGUACAGAGCCCAUAGACGUGCAUUCAAAUCAGUUGGUUCAGUGGGAUGAUUUUUAAUUGCAUUGUUGUAUUAAGUUUUGCUAAUUUUUUUUUUUUUCUUUCCUCUUUUUUCAUAUUUAGGGCAAAGCAGCAGCUGGCAAGUGUAUUGAAAGCCUUGUUCUGUCAAUAUUCAGUGGGCCUAACUUCAUUCCCCUUUAGUAGAACAUAGAUCAAUUAAAUGUAUCCCAGCCACAGCCAGGACCCUCUAGCUUCCAUAGGCAGCAGGAUCUCAGCUCAGGGGAGGCUAUGACUUGGGAAAGAUUAAUUUAUGUCCCUCUGGAAAGAUCUUGCCCAUUAUUUAGUGGCAUAGGUGAGAUUAAUGUUCAGAUCUGGGUUGCGUGCCCGUAGACUUGCUACUAUUGAUAAGGCUCAUUUUAUUUAUGAUCAUCUGAUUGGUGAUGCUCGUGAGGAGAUCAAGUAUCGGCCGCAGCAAGUGAGGGAAGACCCUGACCGCAUCUUUGAGAUCCUCCUUGCUCAGUAUAGCUGUCCUAUGUCCUUCAUUGCGGUCAAAGAGGCCUUUUUAUGCCAGAAAGCAACAGGAAGGUGAAUCAUUGAGGGAGUUCUCACAUGCUCUGUUUUCUUUUAGUGGACAAAAUGAUCCAGAGUCAUCCAGAGAAACGCAUCCCUGAUGCUGUUAAAUUGCUGCAUGAUCAGUUUGUAGAGAGUGUAGGGGAUGGGAAUUUGAGCCGGGAGUUUAGAAUUGCUUGUGAACAUCCUGACUAUGACCUUCAUGCUAUCAGGGAUGAAGCUAUUAGGUGGGAGCGUGAGGGCAGAUCUAGGGAAGAAUUGGGCAGACCCAGGAGUUAUUCCGUCCCCUCAGUUUAUAGUAUACAGCAUGUGGGCCAGGCUAGGGGUCAGAAAGAUACUGUAGGGUCAGAGCUUAAAGAAAUGCUGAAGCAGCAGGCUCAAAUUGAUAAGCUUACACAAGAACUAAGAUUAAACCACACUUCAGUCAGGCCUAGGCCCUUUCAGAAGAGGGGGCCACUCAUCUGCAGACGGUGACCCCACGCCCAGCUUGGUAGGUCCCUGUCCAAAGGUCACCAUUACUAUGGGAGGGGUGAACAUUUCUUGCCUAUUAGACACUGGGUCUAUGGUCACCACUAUUACAGAGAGUUUCUUUGCCAAAUAUUUUGAGACAAGGGGCCCAGAGAAGCUGAGGCUGUGCCACUGGCUAUGGUUACGUGCAGCCAAUGGGCUUGAAAUCCCUUAUAUUGGCUAUUUGGAAGUUGAUUUUUCAGGUCUUAGGCAAGCUGAUCCCCAAACGUGGUGUAUUAGUCAUCAGAGAUACACCGGACGCCAGCCCCAAUCCAGAGGUAUGUGGAGUUCUUGGCAUGAAUGUAAAAGAGUUGAUUUUGGAACAUGGUCCUGCCCUGUUUGAUCUCCCCCCAGUCAAGCAAAACGUCUUGCAGUUCUGCCACCAAGCCCAACUCCAGUCCGAACCACAAGUCCAUGGCCCAGUCAGAGUUAAGGGCCGGAGAAAGAUUCAAAUUCCAGGAGGAACAAUGAAAAUGGUGCCUACCACCUGUAGAAAGACAUCUCCAGUUCAUACAGGAUCAGCCCUGUUUGAACCAUUGGAUUCAGGUUUGCCAAAUGGUCUCCUCUCUUCCCCAGCUCUGGUCAAAGUGCUCAGUGGUACAGCGUUCAUCCCUGUAACCAAUGUGGGGACUACAGAGGUAACGUUACCUCCCCACAUUCAGAUUGGCACCCUCUGUCAAGCUGAAAUUGUCAGCCAACCAGAAAGCCUUGUUGGAACUAUAGAGGAGGGGCCAUCUGGUCAUCGGCCAUUGAAUCCCUUGAUUUGUCAACUCUUAGUUCAAGAUCAGGAGAGGGUGAGGUCCCUUUUACAUGGCUAUCAGUCUGUUUUUUUUCCUCCCAUGAUUGUGAUUUGGGGUGUACACAUCUGAUUGCUCAUGAGAUUCCUCUUCUAAAUGAGACCUCUCCGCCAGCGGUAUAGGCGUAUUCCACCAUCAGAAUAUGAAGCUGUUAAGGCACAUGUUCAGCAGCUCCUAGAGAGUAAAGUAAUCCGUGAGAGUUGUAGUUCAUUUGCCUCUCCAAUUGUGAUAGUGAAGAAAAAAGAUUCUACCAUUAGGCUCUGUGUCGACUAGUCUCCUGAACUCUAAAACUAGGAAAGAUGCUUUUCCUCUGCCUCAAAUUGAGGAGUCUCUUGACACUGUCAGGUGCCCAGUGGUUUUCCACGUUGGAUUUAGCCAGCGGGUAUAACCAAGUUCCGGUUGCUGAAUCUGACAAAAUGAAGACAGCCUUUUGCACCCCCUUUAGCCUCUUUGAAUUUAAUAGGAUGCCUUUUGGUUUUGUGUAAUGCACCCAGCACUUUUCAAAGGCUGAUGGAGAGGAUCUUUGGGUUGCACAAUCACCAGUCAUUACUGCUUUAUUUGGAUGAUGUCAUUGUCUUUUCUGCUACAGUGGAUGAGCAUGUCCAACGGCUGGGAGCUGUGUUGGAGACCUUGCGGGUGCAGAACCUAAAAGCUAAACUAGAGAAGGGCUGUUUCCUAAAAACAGAGUUAAAAUACCUUGGCCAUGUCAUCUCAAAAGAUGGUGUAGCAACUGACCCUGAUAAGAUCUCUGUAGUGGUGAAUUGGCAACCUCCAAAAACUGUUACUGAGCUAAGAUCAUUUCUCGGUUUCGCUAGCUAUUAUCGCUACUUUGUUCAAGGUUUUGCAAAACUGGCUGCACCUCUUCAUCACCUCGUGGCUGAGCUGGGUGGCACCAAGACUAAAAAGCUAUCCAAACGCUCCCUCCAGGAACUGUGGACUGAACAAUGUGAAACCAGCUUUGAGAAUCUGAAGGCCAGGUCAUUGCUACCAGGGACCAAAAACCAACCACUGUAGCCCAGGUACUGGUCCAUGAGGUUUUAUCGCUUCGGGGUCCCUGCUAGGAUCCCUUCAGAUCAAGGGAGGAGCUUUGAAGGGGCUCUGAUCCAACAACUGUGUCAGCUGUAUGGUGUGGAAAAGACCCGCACUACUCCAUAUCACCCACAAGCUCCCCAUUGACUUGUUAGGAAGAGUUGAAGAGCCAGUGCACGGCUCUGUCCACAGCUGGGUACAAGAUCAUCAGAAACGCCUUAACGUUGCUUAUGAGGGAGCCAGGAAAUGGCUGCAAACGGCAGCUCAUAAACGUGCAGAGCGGUGUAUGGUGCCAGCCUCAGACCCAUUGCAACUACAUCAGCUGGUGUUUCUCAGAACAUAACAGAAGGGGCAGACAUAAAAUUCAAGAUCACUGGAGCCCCACACCCUAUUGUAUCCUCAAAGUCCCUGAUGAUGCUGGUCCAGUGUAUACAGUCGCACCCGUGAAUCAUCCUAAAAAGCAGGGAUGCUGAGAGGACCACUAGCCCCACCCCUCCCUGAGAUGCAGUUGAGAACUGAGGAGGAUGGAGACAUCUGUGUGGAAACAUGAGCCUCCAACUGGGAACACCUGCCAUCCUCCACCUGUUGGGGUUGAUCCACAGCUGGAACAGGCACCUGAACAACCUGGUACUGUAGUGAAUUUACAAUCCAGAGUUAAUCUACCGCCAGGCCCCUUGAAAGUACAGGCUGGGUCUGUGAUAGAAUCUCCCCGCAGUAAGUACCCUGUCCUGCCUAUUGUCGUAGCAAUUUUAUCCUCUGUAUUUCAUGUCAAGCCAUUUGCUAUUUAUAUAUUAAUAGUUUUAAUUAUUUUAAUGUUGUGAAAUAAAAUAGCUUGGACUAAUCUGGCAGUUUCUCCUUUUUGUUUUACAGGUUCGCUGCCA